rnacentral:rRNA from 1 species
GCGUGGGCUACUAAUACAUGCAAGUCGAGCGAAUGGAUUAAGAGCUUGCUCUUAUGAAGUUAGCGGCGGACGGGUGAGUAACACGUGGGUAACCUGCCCAUAAGACUGGGAUAACUCCGGGAAACCGGGGCUAAUACCGGAUAACAUUUUGAACCGCAUGGUUCGAAAUUGAAAGGCGGCUUCGGCUGUCACUUAUGGAUGGACCCGCGUCGCAUUAGCUAGUUGGUGAGGUAACGGCUCACCAAGGCAACGAUGCGUAGCCGACCUGAGAGGGUGAUCGGCCACACUGGGACUGAGACACGGCCCAGACUCCUACGGGAGGCAGCAGUAGGGAAUCUUCCGCAAUGGACGAAAGUCUGACGGAGCAACGCCGCGUGAGUGAUGAAGGCUUUCGGGUCGUAAAACUCUGUUGUUAGGGAAGAACAAGUGCUAGUUGAAUAAGCUGGCACCUUGACGGUACCUAACCAGAAAGCCACGGCUAACUACGUGCCAGCAGCCGCGGUAAUACGUAGGUGGCAAGCGUUAUCCGGAAUUAUUGGGCGUAAAGCGCGCGCAGGUGGUUUCUUAAGUCUGAUGUGAAAGCCCACGGCUCAACCGUGGAGGGUCAUUGGAAACUGGGAGACUUGAGUGCAGAAGAGGAAAGUGGAAUUCCAUGUGUAGCGGUGAAAUGCGUAGAGAUAUGGAGGAACACCAGUGGCGAAGGCGACUUUCUGGUCUGUAACUGACACUGAGGCGCGAAAGCGUGGGGAGCAAACAGGAUUAGAUAC